rfam:Oscillibacter sp. KLE 1745 genomic scaffold Scaffold207, whole genome shotgun sequence.
GGCCCGUUGGUCAAGUGGUUAAGACACGGCCCUUUCACGGCUGUAACAUGGGUUCGAAUCCCGUACGGGUCA